rnacentral:tRNA from 1 species
GGGGGGAUGCCCGAGUGGUUAAAGGGGGCAGACUGUAAAUCUGUUGCGUAAGCUACGUUGGUUCGAAUCCAUCUCCCCCCAACA